rnacentral:lncRNA from 1 species
UCUAUUAUAUCAGUAUGUGUUGGUUAAAAUAAAAUCUCUAUACAUUUUUUACUAUUUCAAAAUAUCUUUAUAAAACAUUUCAACAGAACUUAAAAAAGUGAACUUACGGAACAAGCAAACGAACUUAAAAGAAACAAAAAUAAGAAGAAAAUACACUCUUACAUAGAAGUAAAAACUAUAACAGUCAGAAAAGCAAAAUAGAUAUGACAGUAAUAACUAUACCAUAAAAAAACCAAGAACAACAUGAAAUAACAUAAUAUAUACAUUCUUUAUAAGUAUACUAGUGUAUUCAAAACGGGUCAAGGUUGAAUGAACAUGAAUUUCUAUAUAUUACUGUCAACUGAGUGUGGCGCG